AGCUAAAUUAACCACACACAAUCUAAAGACGAAAAAGAAGAAUAAAUAAGAACACAGAAAAUUUACUUGCCCGUGAACUAUUUAAAUUAAAAUCCGGCACCGCAGAAGCUGAUCGGCUAUCCAGCCGGAAAGUACACGGCGAAGAAAACAGGUGGGGGACGGUGGCUGUAAUGAUGAUGAUGAUGAUACGAAGGGGUUUUGUUUAUGGAAAAUGGCGUGGUACGGUCAGUAUAGUACACAAAAAUAAUAAUGUCCAAGUAAUCAUCAACAAUCUUUAGAACUUUUUUACAUUGGAGAAGAGAGAGAGAGAGAGAGGGAUCCCUGUUCUUUGUUUAGGCUUUGGAAAGAGAAGUUGAGAGAUGAUGAUCUGUGGCGGUAGGAGGGGAUGAUACUUGUAUGUGCGUACUUUGUUGGUGAAGACACAGCACCACGUUUGCUUUCCGGGA
rnacentral:misc_RNA from 1 species